rnacentral:rRNA from 1 species
GACGAACCGUGCGAACGUUGUUCGGAUUCACUGGGCUUAAAGGGCGCGUAGGCGGGCGGUCAAGUCAGGGGUGAAAUCUUUCGGCUCAACCGGAAAAGUGCCUUUGAUACUGGCCGUCUCGAGGGAGGUAGGGGCAUGCGGAACUUCCGGUGGAGCGGUGAAAUGCGUAGAUAUCGGGAGGAACACCUGUGGCGAAAGCGGCUCACUGGACCACAACUGACGCUGAGACGCGAAAGCGUGGGGAGCGAACAGG